rnacentral:rRNA from 1 species
UACACUCCUGCGGGAGGCAGCAGUGGGGAAUUUUGGACAAUGGGCGAAAGCCUGAUCCAGCAAUGCCGCGUGAGUGAAGAAGGCCUUCGGGUUGUAAAGCUCUUUUGUCAGGGAAGAAACGGUGAAAGCUAAUAUCUUUUGCUAAUGACGGUACCUGAAGAAUAAGCACCGGCUAACUACGUGCCAGCAGCCGCGGUAAUACGUAGGGUGCAAGCGUUAAUCGGAAUUACUGGGCGUAAAGCGUGCGCAGGCGGUUUUGUAAGUCUGAUGUGAAAUCCCCGGGCUCAACCUGGGAAUUGCAUUGGAGACUGCAAGGCUAGAAUCUGGCAGAGGGGGGUAGAAUUCCACGUGUAGCAGUGAAAUGCGUAGAUAUGUGGAGGAACACCGAUGGCGAAGGCAGCCCCCUGGGUCAAGAUUGACGCUCAUGCACGAAAGCGUGGGGAGCAAACAGGAUUAGAAACCCGUGUAGUCC